UUAGCCUGUAAGACAAAUAUAAGGGCUCAUUUCCACGGUGUGUUGUUAAAGCAGAGCGCUCUGUAGCUGAUCCCUUUCUGUUCUGGUUUCAGUAAAAACCUAAGCUAGAUUUAAUCAACAGUAGUUUUAUAUUACAUAUAGGCUAACUUCAAAUGGACAUAGGCUACGCCGAUUUUCAUUACUUUUCUCUCAAAGCUCACCUGCUGGUCGGUUCCUGAGGCACGUUCGCGGUUCACCGGCGUCUCCUGGUCCUAAGGUACCCGAUGUAACAGCCUAACUCUGGCCUUGAGUGGUUUGAAAUGACCGCGUCAACUGACUUUGCAGUCCCAUCCACCCCAAUGCAGGACAGCCGGAUUUCCUCUCAGCCUAAAGGAGGGGUUCUGGAGACCAGGCAGCAACUGUAUGGCAUCACUACUGGUGCAACCGUUGCCUACCUUUGGAGAACAAGAGCCUUUUUGGGAAAGAUAUCACUCUUUUAAAAGUGGACACAAAGCCAGCCUAGAAAUGACAAAAAGAAAACAGAGCGGAGGAAAGAAAGACAGCAUCUUGAAAUUGCAAAGUAAAGACACAAACUGAGACUGGAAGCCUGAAAGCUGUAAGUUACGUGUUGUUCAGUUGCUUAGGUCUAAGUCUUUUAACCAGCAUCAGUGCAGACCGUUUGUAAAAUGUAUUCUUACUACAUCACAUCAGUAGGUCCUUAAAUAUAUGUUUAUGUGUUCAUAUUUAUUUACAUCUUCACUAUGUUUUGUGAAUGAAUUUGCAACACUGUUUUUGUUAGUCGCCAUUAUUUUAUCAGUUAUUUAAUCAAUGAGGUACUUCUUAAUAAGACCCUGUAGGUGUCACUGUUAUACUUGUUAUCUGACACUGGGGAGCUGCUGGAGCUGCUAACGUCUAAAUUGGAGAAGACAUUGAUAUCAAUGUUAGCCACACAGAGGUGCUGCAUUUUCUACUCCAGUAUGGGGUCAGUUUCCGUUGUAAUUUAAGAUAUCCUUGUUAUUGCAUUGGAUUACCACGGUGUGGAAAUUCUGUGUUUAAUCCUUUCCCAGCUAUAUCCGAGACUUCUUUUAGAUUUUUUUAGACUACAAUCUUUUUUCUUUUCUUUCCCGUAUUCCCAGAUGCUUAUUAAUCUGCAUUUCUCUUUUAUUUGAUUUUUAUUUAUAUUUCAGAACCCACUUUCCAACUUCACAUGUAACGUCAAAUACAACUUCAUAGUUAACUUAAUGUUUGCGUUGUAAAUAAAUCUUCCUGGAUCUCAGAGUCAAACAUCGGGUCAAGUUCUGACUGUACACCCUACAGCGAGCCAGUGUUUCAGUUGCCA